GCAAGGUACCGAACAGCGGAAAGUGCUGCACUCAAGUAAGGGCGAACGGGUGAGUAACACGUGAAUAACCUACCUCAAAGUCUGGGAUAACCAUGGAAACAGUGACUAAUACCGGAUAAAACCCAAGUGCACAUGCACUAAGGUUAAAAGCUGCGUUUGCAGCGCUUUAAGAUGGAUUCGCGGUGCAUUAGUUAGUUGGUGAGGUAAAGGCUCACCAAGACGAUGAUGCAUAGCCGAGUUGAGAGACUGACCGGCCACAUUGGGACUGAGACACGGCCCAAACUCCUACGGGAGGCUGCAGUAGGGAAUCUUCCACAAUGGGCGCAAGCCUGAUGGAGCAACGCCGCGUGUGUGAUGAAGGCUUUCGGGUCGUAAAGCACUGUUGUAUGGGAAGAACGGGUUUAAGAGGAAAUGCUUAGACAGUGACGGUACCAUACCAGAAAGGGACGGCUAAAUACGUGCCAGCAGCCGCGGUAAUACGUAUGUCCCGAGCGUUAUCCGGAUUUAUUGGGCGUAAAGCGAGCGCAGACGGUUGCUUAAGUCUGAAGUGAAAGCCCACAGCUCAACUGUGGAAUGGCUUUGGAAACUGGGCAACUUGAGUGCAGUAGAGGUAAGUGGAACUCCAUGUGUAGCGGUGGAAUGCGUAGAUAUAUGGAAGAACACCAGUGGCGAAGGCGGCUUACUGGACUGCAACUGACGUUGAGGCUCGAAAGUGUGGGUAGCAAACAGGAUUAGAUACCCUGGUAGUCCACACCGUAAACGAUGGAUACUAGUUGUUAGAGGGUUUCCGCCCUUUAGUGACGAAGCAAACGCAUUAAGUAUCCCGCCUGGGGAGUACGACCGCAAGGUUGAAACUCAAAGGAAUUGACGGGGACCCGCACAAGCGGUGGAGCAUGUGGUUUAAUUCGAAGCAACGCGAAGAACCUUACCAGGUCUUGACAUCCUUUGAAGGUACUAGAUAGUACUGUCUUCUUCGGAAGCAAAGUGACAGGUGGUGCAUGGCCCUCCUC
rnacentral:rRNA from 1 species